AGGAUAAACGCUGGCGGCGUGCCUAACACAUGCAAGUCGAACGCGCUUUCGGGCUUCGGUGCGAGAGCGAGUGGCGGACGGGUGAGUAACACAUGGGUACCUACCUUGGAGUGAGGGAUACCGGCGAGAAAUCGCCGACAAUACCGCAUAGGCUUCUUCACAAGGGAAGCAAAGUGACGCGAGUCACGCUUUGAGAUGGGCCUGUGGCCGAUUAGCUAGUUGGGGGGGUAACGGCUUCCCAAGGCGACGAUCGGUAGCUGGUCUGAGAGGACGAUCAGCCACACUGGGAUUGAGAACGGCCCAGACUCCUACGGGGGCAGCAGUGAGGAAUUUUCCGCAAUGGAGGCAACUCUGACGGAGCAACGCCGCGUGCAGGAGGAAGGUUUUCGGAUCGUAAACUGCUUUUCUCGGGGACGAGCAAGGACGGUACCCGAGGAAGAAGCCCGGCUAACUACGCGCCAGCAGCCGC
rnacentral:rRNA from 1 species